AGCAGCCGCGGUAAUUCCAGCUCCAAUAGCGUAUAUUAAAGUUGUUGCAGUUAAAAAGCUCGUAGUUGAAUUUCGGGGUUCUACCGUUGGUCGGGCUUUGUCUGUACUGGCGUGUAGAAUUUCUACCUUCUGGGGAACCAUCAUGCUAUUAAUUUAACGUGGUGGGAAACCAGGACCUUUACCUUGAAAAAAUUAGAGUGUUCAAAGCAGGCUUAUGUCUGAAUACAUUAGCAUGGAAUAAUAAAAUAGGACGGUGGUCCUGUUUUGUUGGUUUCUGAAUCACCGUAAUGAUUAAUAGGGAUAGUUGGGGGCAUUAGUAUUCAAUUGUCAGAGGUGAAAUUCUUGGAUUUAU
rnacentral:rRNA from 1 species